UUCGACUAAGCCAUGCAAGUUUUCUCGCAAGAGAGGCACAAUGCUCAGUAACACGUCAAUAAUCUGCCCUCAGAUCAGGGAUAACCUUGGGAAACUGAGGAUAAUACCUGAUAGGGGAUUGAUACUGGAAUGUUCUUUCCCUUAAACGUAAGGUCUGAGGAUGAGUUGGCGGCGGAUUAGGUAGUUGGCGAGGUAAAGGCUCACCAAGCCGAAGAUCCGUAGGGGCCUUGAGAGAGGUAGCCCCGAGAAGGACACUGAGAUACUGGUCCUAGCCCUACGGGGUGCAGCAGGCGCGGAACCUCUGCAAUGCACGCAAGUGUGACAGGGGAACUCUGAGUGCUUAUACUUAGUAUAGGCUUUUGCCAAGAGCAAAAAUCUUGGCGAAUAAGUGGUGGGUAAGACUGGUGCCAGCAGCCGCGGUAACCCCAGCGCCACAAGUGGCAAUCAUCAUUAUUGGGUCUAAAGCGUUCGUAGCCGGUCUUGUAAGUCUUUGUGAAAUUGUUGUUCUACAGACAACGGCGAGCAAAAGAUACUGCAAGACUAGGGACCGGUAAGGGUAAGGAGUAUGCCAAGGGGAGCGGUAAAAUGUUAUAAUCCUUGGUAGACUACCUGUGGCGGAGGCGCCUUACUAGGACGGGUCCGACGGUGAGGAACGAAAGCUAGGGGAGCGAAACGGAUUAGAUACCCGUGUAGUCCUAGCCGUAAACACUGUGAGCAAGAUGUUGCAUAUUCUUCGUGAAUGUGCAGUGUCGAAGAGAAGUCAUUAAGCUCACCACCUGGGGAGUAUGGUCGCAAGGCUGAAACUUAAAGGAAUUGGCGGGGGAGCACCACAAGGGGUGCGGCGUGCGGUUUAAUCUAAUUCAACACAGAGCAUCUCACCAGUAGCGACGGCAGGAUGAAGAUCAGUCUGAAGGGCUUAUCUGACGAGCCGAGAGGUAGUGCAUGGCCGCCGCCAGCUCGUGCCGUAAGGCGUCCUGUUAAGUCAGGCAACGAGCAAGACCUGCAUCUACAAUUGCUAACGACUUCUUCGGAAGAAUCGAGCACAUUGUAGGGACUGCCCGGGAAACUGGGAGGAAGGCGCAGGCUACGGUAGGUCUGUAUGCUCCGAAUCCACUGGGCUACACGCGCGCAACAAUGGUAAUGACAAAAGGAUGCCACUCCGAAAGGGGAAGCUAAUCCCAAAAACAUUGCCCUAGUAUAGAUUGAGGGUUGUAACUCACCCUCAUGACAUUGGAAUCCCUAGUAAUCAGAUGUUAUCAGCGUCUGGUGAAUAUGUCCCUGCUCCUUGCACACACUGCCCGUCAAACCACUCGAGCCGAGUUCAGGUGAGACCUAGUUGUAAAUUAGGGCGAAUCUAAACUCAGUGAGAUGGGUUAAGUCGUCACAAGGUA
rnacentral:rRNA from 1 species